CCUUCGUCUUUUUUUUUUUCCCGAGAGAACAAAAGAGAAUGAAAUCAAUAAAGGAUGAUCAUGUUACCACCAUUAAUAGAUUACCCUCUCCUACAAAAUGAAUUGUGUUGAGUUCGUCUUUCAUUAUGUUCGUCUUCCGAAUAAGCUCCCUCUCUCUCUCAGUUUUUGAAUCUUGCGAUAGUUGGGAAAUUCAAUGAUUUCAAGUGACAAUCCGAUCUUCAAAAUCCGUAUAUUUAUCCAGUGAAAUCGAGACAUUUUGCAUUGAAUUGGGCAAUCCUUGAUAGGACACCAAUUGACAUAGGUUCAAAGUUCUGUGUUUAUGCCAAGGAAAUUCUCCCAUGGAUAGCAAUGCCGCUAUAAGUGGCUUAUGUUGCUGAUUUUAAAAAUCCUAAUACGAAGCUCAGGGCAUCUUUUGGUUUCGGCAGUGGAACCCUUCAAGGUCACUUGUUGGUUAGUCUUCCUUUACUCAUAGUUAGUUAGAGCAUAUGAUAGACUUACUUAGAACAAUUGAACUAGACAUAGGAUCUUUGGUUGCUAACCUAACACCUCAGUUAAGGAGGAUCCUUUUAGUACCUUGGUUAACCCUAUUAGUCACUGUAAUCAGGAUUUGUGUUGUUUUGGUAUAUGAAUUAUUAGAUUUGGGACACUAUAUUGCCCAUAUUUUUACCCCCAUUAUUCGGCAAUGUGUUUGAAUAAAGGAGUGUGUCGUGGAGAUGGAUGUCUACUGCAGCCCGCUUAAUUAACUUUGAAAUUGAAUGAGUAAUUUCAGUUUUUGUGGAGAAGGUGUUGAAGAUUUUUUACCAACCUCAUGCAAUCUUUUGUACUCGUCGAGUCAAUCUCUGCUCUGCCACUAUUGCCAGUAUGGGAUCGGUCGUCUAUUUAUUGUCAUACAUAAGUUGUUCUUACAGUUGCUUUCAGCCCUGAUGGCAGACAACUAGCGAGUGGCUCUGGUGAUACUACUGGGCGGUUAUGGGAUCUUACUCUCAGACCCCCAUGCACACUUGUACAGGUGUUGUAUUUGAGCUUUUAUUAGGGAUGGUUGUUUAGUAAAUGGUUGUUUAGUAACUAGUUGAUUCUCGGCAUCUAUCCGCGUUAGAUAAAUUAUGGUGACUUUUUUGCUAUUUCAUUGCGAUCAAACGGUGGUCUCUAUUAGUGGACUUUUCUAUGCAUCACACACUGGAUAGAUUAACUCCCAACAGUUUCGUAAGUAAUUUCAGGUGCAGUUAUAGUUUACAAUCUAUGUUCAGUUUUAGUUUCUUCUUGUCCGAAGUUUGAAGGCUUUUCAGAUGAUGGCCAGGAGGAGAAAUCUUUGUAGCUUCAUCCACUAUCUUUUACCAUGCAGAAUCUUCAAUUGAGCAUUUAGAUCUCAAAUUGUUUUUUUUUCCGUGUGUAUUGUUGGUUUGUUGUCUUGCAAUCACUCAAAGAACUGCAGAUUAAGAUAAAGUAUGGUUUUCUCGAGUUCUUUUGCUU